rnacentral:miRNA from 1 species
CAUGGAACUCCAUGGAACUCCAUG